AUGGACUGGCUGAAUGCGCACGCGGCUCCUGCCGCACAUGCAGCCGAGGAGGAGGAGAGUCCCCCACCCGGAGCUGCAGAAAGAGGUAAGUUUAACCCCUUCCACCCCCUAGUGCCUGGCAGGAGGGGAUCUCUGAGGGUGGGGGCACCCUCAGGGCACUAAAGUGCCAGGAAAACGAGUAUGUUUUCAUGGCACUAUAGUGGUCCUUUAAG